CAGGGAGACAACAAAAUGUUUAAUAUUAUUAUUUUGUCACCUUAGGUCGAUCGGUAUCUCACGUUCUUAAUUUAUUAAGAAUUUCAUUUCCUAAGUUUUUCUAGGUCACACCCAUUAUUUUUCCUGGGCCAUUAGCUCAGGUGGUUAGAGCGCACCCCUGAUAAGGGUGAGGUCCCUGGUUCAAGUCCAGGAUGGCCCAUAUCUCUAUGUUGGGGGUAUAGCUCAGUUGGUAGAGCGCCUGCUUUGCAAGCAGGAUGUCAGCGGUUCGAGUCCGCUUACCUCCACUGAUUACCACCUCUUCCAUAAUUUGCAGAAAGGAAAUUUUUGAGUUGUGAUCAAAUUCUGAACGAAUCUAGCUUCCUAAUGAAAUCAUUAAGAUGCUGGACUCAUUGAAUUAAUUUCAUUGUUUUCAGAGAACCUUGACAACUGCAUAGAUUAUUUUAAAGACAAUAAGCAUCUUUAAUGAUGCAGAUUUAUUAUUUGUGCGAAUGCAUUAAUAACAAUUCUAUUAAGCUGAUGCUUCAAUUUUGAAGUUAUU
rnacentral:tRNA from 1 species